GACCGAAACGUCGUCGUCCCUUCAACUUCUAGUGUGUGGUCUGGUCAACAUACUUCAGCCACGUUAUUGUGACUCAUCGCCUGCACUUGUACGUAAAGGCGAGUUAUGUCAGGGCUGAUCUUAUCGAACCUUUUACAAUACUGAACAGUUUGGAGAAUGUUGAUACAGAAUUCUUCUUCGAAAGGUCAAACAAGGAGCAACGGGUUCAAGCUCAACAAGCUACAAUGUAGGAUUGAGAACAAGAGAUGCUUUUUCAUCCUCAUGGAACCGCCUACCCGCUGAAGCCGCAAAUGACAAAAUUCUGUUGAACUUUAAAAUCGAUUGAAAAAGUCCCCAAGACAAAUAGGGGGUAUCUUUGACAAACCACCGACUUCCUGUCCUCGUAGAAGCCACUAUAGUGUUUUAGCGGCCCUCGGGUAAAUUCAGAACACCCAGACAAAUUUUCUGACAAUUGUGAGAUUGAGCAAACGAAACAGCAGUAACAAUCUUGUAGACGCCACCACACACAAUCUUGUAGACGGAGCAACAAAAAUGAUGUUGACCAGACCACACACUAGAAAGUGAAGGGACGACGACGUUAACGGACCGAAACGUCGUCGUCCCUUCACUUUCUAGUGUGUGGUCUGGUCAACAUACUUCAGCCACGUUAUUGUGACUCAUCGCCUGCAACAAAAACGAUCUUGUGGACGCAACGACAAAAACAAUCUAGUGGACGCAACGACAAAAACAACCAAGUGGACGCAACAACAAAAACAACCAAGUGGACGCAAUAACAAGACCAAUCUCCUGCACGCAAUAAGAGCAGUCUUGUAGCUGAAAAAAACAGCACUUUUGCAGUUUGGAGGUCAUUCCCCGGUUUAAGACCCUUUAAUUUACAUGAAAAUAUGGUUGAGUAGGUAUUUUGGAUUAUCCAAUAUUUACCUGAGGGCCACUAACACAAAUGGCCUCGACGAGGAAAGGAAGCCGGCGGCUUGUCAAAGGUCCCCUCCCCCCCUAAUUUUUCCUGAAAUUAUUUUUCCAUCUGGAUUUUGAACUGCAGUAACAUCGCACUUAAAAGAGCUUUACAUAUAUAGAGAGUACACUCGACUGUGUGUAUGUAUUUUAUGUUUAAAAUAUUCAAUGGUUUCAGAAAAGAAAGUAGUUGCAAGCUGUCUGGGGUUGUUAUUGUUCUACCUGCUGAUUUAUGUUCAGUAAUUAUGUGUGUUUAACACGGGAGACAUCUCCCGUCACGCAGGGUGCAGUCGCGCCUCCACAGAUCUCCAGUAUCAACUCUUGAUACUGGUAAUGGCUCAAAAGGGCCACCACUUACGGGCUAUUCAUGCCCGUGCCACCUUUUGGGUGGCUUAAUCUUCAUCAAUCAAUCGUGUGUUUGAGGUCAUUUUGAGUUGUAGAUCCCCACGUGCAACUACCGUAGGCGAGAUAUGGAUAGAUUAAUAAACAAUAUAGUAAUAUCAGGACAGAGCGAAGUGCACAGUAAUGGCCGUAUAGAUUUGAAGCUAUUGAGUGAAAUCAGAAAGAAUAUGGUGGGGUGAAAUAUGAGAGAAAAAAAGGGAGAGAUAAGCGAGGGUUUAAAAGGGCGUGUGGGAGCGAGGGGGAGAUGACAGGGGCGAGAGGGGAAGGUAAUGUGUGUAGGAGGGAGGGUGUCCUAGACCAGUGUCCACAGCCGGGACACUCCUGGUCAACAGUGUCGGCAGAUCAUCCCACCAUCAUACUCGGUACAAGCAGAUUAUAUCGUCGACCCCUCCCCUCAUCCCCCUACAAAAUAUCACAAGUCGCCAUCUACUCUCUUUAUCGGUUAUUGCUUCUCAAAUCUUCACGGAUUCUGAAGGGAAAGAGUGAACUCUGAGGCCGUUUCUGAGGGUGUUGCUACAAGACGAAGGGGCCCAGGAACCUCCAGACCGCCACCUGGCCGCCGGAAACGGAGGUAGUGACGUCCUUUGAGGCGUCAUCCUGCAUCCUGGUUGUGCUGGCCCAUCUCUCUCUCCCCCCCCCCUCUCAUCAGGUCCUGUGGGGUUGUGCAGGAGAUAUAAUGAGAUGCACGGGGCUGUGCAUCACUGCAGCGGCACAGCCAGCCAUUCCUCUCCUGUCCUCACAUCACUGCAAGGCUCUGCCAUGAACUUAGUAAGUGUGCUGAUGCUUGUGAUGGCCGCCCUGCUGCUGGCUCCAUCUCACAGCCUGCCUGAUGCCGAGGUGCUGAUGGAGGCGGCGCCAGACCUCAGGCGCCAAGAAUGGGUCCAACCACCACCUCCCCCUCGCUUCCACUACCGGGGCUUCGGGAGACCCAACCCCAGGACCAACUGGCUGUAAGUUCCAAUAUCCACAGCCCAUUCUCCUCCUGCCCAGCGAACCUGCAUUGCUCCGGAAACCAUGCGAUUAUCAUAUACAACAGAAUAAGUUUAUUAAUAUUAAGGAAUAAAUAAUGCAAAAGAGACAAGGUGGAUAUGUAGGUACAGUAGCGAGAUAGCAGCCUUUAUGGUGAUACCACAACGCAAUGAUCAUUUACCAGGAUACCAUAUAUGUUGGGCUUUCUGCUUGAACUUCAGUCCUCAGCAGUACCCUUGGUUGUAAACUUGGCGUGAAUAAAUGGAAACCACUUGUUUUGUGUAAUAUUCCUAAUAUAUUAAGGUACGUACAACUUUUCCGCCACCACUCACAGUAUGGGUAUAUAUUAGGCGGUCCAUAAAAAAACUACUCCAGCCAAAACUCUGUAAAUUGUUAAUUACUCUUAGAUCUGUUAAUGCAAGGUCAUAUGCAAGUGUUUUUAAUACACUGCUGCCACAAAGCUAAUACCAGAAAUAAGGGAACUAAGGUAUGAAAAUAUACAAAUACAGUACUCACUUGUGCAUAUGUGGACAGGGACAAACUGUUUAAAAUAGGUGUGAAUAGAACAAGAGAAUACAAAGAGGAACCGGAAAAGAAGACGAGUCAGAGGGACAUCAUUUACUCUGUCUUCAGUUUAAAGCAGUGAAUAGGUGGAUGGAGCAAGAAAUGGAAAUAGUUAAGGCUAUCUACAUACACAACUUCAGUUGUAGAUAAUGUACACCAAAGUAGAAGAUGGUGAUCGACAGGUAACAGACAGGGCAUAAGAGCUGGAGCUCAUUACCCACAUGCACAAGAAGGUGAUCAUGCACAUGCAUCAUAUAAAAUUUUAGGUAGUAGAUGGGAAUUAAACAAAUAUUUUUGUUUUAUAAAAUAUUAUUUUUUAAAUUUUCACAAUUUAGUACACAAGGAUAAACUUAAACAGCCUGUGUUCAAUGUAACCAACUUUCAACAACAAAAUCAGACCUUCAUGGGCAAGUCAUUCAACUACUUCUUUAGGCAAAAAGUCUUAGUCCCUGGACAUGGUAGGCAAAUAUUCUGCAUCUACACAACAUAUAU